rnacentral:lncRNA from 1 species
UCUUUGUAGCAGCUAGGCCCUGCCACCACUGUGCUUGGCUGAGUUCACAAAUCUGUUGUAACCUGUAGCUUCCCUGUCACUUCUCUGGCUCUCCACUCCUGCUAAGCUUUGUUUCCUAAUUAAAAUCUUCUGCCACUGCCAUAGCUACUGCUGCUACUGGAACUGCCAUAGACACUGUGGUUCGGUAAAGUAUUGGCCUCCACCACCAUAGGGGCCAGAGCUUCUGCCCCAAAGUUUCCUCCCUUCAUGGGUCCAAAAUUUGAAGACUGAUUGUUGUAAUUGCCAAAAUCAUUGUAGCUUCCACCACCUCCAAAAUUGCUUCAAUCAUUACCAAAUCCAUUAUAGCCAUCCCCACUGCCACCAUAUCCACCACCACCACGGCUGCCACCAAAGCCACCACGACCACUGACAUUUCCUCCAUGACCAAAGUUGUCAUUCCCACCGAAACUACCUCCACAACCACCACCAAAGUUUCCAGAACCACUUUGACCUCUUUGACUGGAAGAAGCACUAGCCAUCUCUCGCUUUGACGGGGCUUUCCUAACUUCACAGUUGUGGCCAUUCACAGUAUGGUAUUUUGGAAUGACAAUCUUAUUCACGGAUUCAUGGUCGUCAAAGGUUACAAAGGCAAAGCCCCUUUUCUUGCCACUGCCUCAGUCAGUCAUUAUUUCAAUCACUUCAAUUUUUCCAUGCUGUUCAAAAUAAUCUCUUAGGUGAUGUUCUUCAGUGUCUUCUUCAAUGCCACCAACAAGUUAUCUUUUUCACAGUUAAGUGGGCACCUGGUCUUUGACAAUCUUCUCUUGAGACAGCUCUCUUUGGUUCUACAACUUUUCCAUCCACUUUGUGUGGCCUUGCAUUCGUGGCUGCAUCCACCUCCUCCACAGUGGCGUAUGUAACAAACCCAAAGCCCCUGGAGCGCUUGGUGUUUGGAUCUUUCAUUACCACACAGUCUGCGAGCGUUCCCCAUCGCUCAAAAUGGCUCCUCAGGCUCUCAACAGUUGUUUCAAAGCUCAAACCUCUAAUGAAGAGCUUCCUCAGCUGUUUGGGCUCUUUAGGAGACUCUGACUUAGACAUGACGGAAGGGAGAAGAGAGACUUUAGUGAUGCUUCUUGGGUGGUGUCCACAGGCAGAAAGGAGCAAGCUGACAAACAUAUCUGGAGAGGCUAUUUUAAAUAGAGUGAUCAGGGAAGGCCUUUUUGAGAAGGUGGCAUAUGAGAUAAUAUGUGUAUGCUGAGAAGGGAACAGCCAGCCUUCUUUAGGGUUCUAGACAGAAAGACUUGCCAUGUACAAAGGACCUGAAAUGAAAAUCAGUUUAGUGUGCUAGAGGAAUAGCAAGAAGGCAAGAGUUAUGUGUUGAAUUGUGUCUCCCCAAAAAAUCAUAUGUUGAAGACAUAACCUCUAGUGCCCUAGAAUAUAACCUUAUUUGAAAAUGGGGAACUGGCUGGGUGCGGUGGCUCAUGCCUGUAAUCCUAGCACUAUGGGAGGCUGAGGUGGGCUGAUCAAGUGAGGUCAGGAGUUCGAGACCAGUCAUGGCCAACAUGGUGAAACCCCAUCUCUACUAAAAAUAGAAAAAUUAGCUGGGCAUGGUAGUGUGUGCCUGUAGUCCCAGCUACUCAGGAGACUGAGACACAAGAAUUGCUUGAACCUGGGAGGUGGAGGGUGUAGUGAGCUGAGAUUGCACCACUGCACUCCAGCCUGGGUGACAGUGCAAGACUCUAUCUCAAAAAAAAAAAAAAAAAAAAAAA